CGACUCUCGGCAACGGAUAUCUCGGCUCUCGCAUCGAUGAAGAACGUAGCGAAAUGCGAUACUUGGUGUGAAUUGCAGAAUCCCGUGAACCAUCGAGUCUUUGAACGCAAGUUGCGCCCGAAAUCACUUGGUUGAGGGCACGUCUGCYUGGGCGUCACGC
rnacentral:rRNA from 1 species